UACGAAGGGGGCAAGCGUUGUUCGGAAUUACUGGGCGUAAAGGGCGCGUAGGCGGCUUGUCAAGUCAGGCGUGAAAUUCCCGGGCUCAACCUGGGGGCUGCGCUUGAUACUGAUGAGCUUGAAUGCGGGAGAGGAUAGUGGAAUUCCCAGUGUAGAGGUGAAAUUCGUAGAUAUUGGGAAGAACACCGGUGGCGAAGGCGGCUAUCUGGCCCGUAAUUGACGCUGAGGCGCGAAAGCGUGGGGAGCAAACAGG
rnacentral:rRNA from 1 species